UACGUAGGGGGCGAGCGUUGUCCGGAUUUAUUGGGCGUAAAGAGCGUGUAGGCGGCCAGGUAGGUCUGCUGUGAAAACUCGAGGCUUAACCUCGAGAUGUCGGCGGAACCCAUCUGGCUAGAGUCCGGAAGAGGAGAAUGGAAUUCCCGGUGUAGCGGUGAAAUGCGCAGAUAUCGGGAAGAACACCCGUGGCGAAGGCGGUUCUCUGGGACGGUACUGACGCUGAGACGCGAAAGCGUGGGGAGCGAACAGG
rnacentral:rRNA from 1 species